UAGCACAUUUGAAUGUUAAAGUAUUGUUUUGGAGAAUUAGAAUCGUUCAGGAGUAAAUGGUUAAAGCUGACUUCCUGUGUCUCGCACACAGGAGAGAAACCAAUUGCCACGAAGCAUUUUGCCGUGUGGGUAACCCUCUGGGAAGUGUAGCGUGCUGCAGAUUUGCAUAAAUCCCAGUGGAUUGGGUCACCCGCCGUGUGCCCACGGCUUGAACUCCCAGAGCUGCGCUGCUGGGGGCGAAUCACUGGAAGAACGUUCGCCUGAGGAGUUCAGUGCUGAUGCUGCUCUUUUCCUUCCCAGCGGCAGAGUUCGGGGAGCCCACUUCCCAGCAGACAGGGACAGUUGCUGGGAAAACUGUUACUCAAACCGCAGCCCCGGUGUCCUGGAAGCCCCAGGAUUCUUCGGAACAGCCACAGGAGAAGCUCUGCAAGAAUCCAUGUGCGAUGUUUGCUGCUGGAGAGAUCAAAACGCCGGCAGGGGAGGGCCUUCUUGACUCACCCAGCAAAGCCAUGUCUAUUAAAGAAAGAUUGGCACUGUUGAAGAAAAGCGGAGAGGAAGAUUGGAGAAACAGACUCAGCAGGAGGCAGGAGGGCGGCAAGGCUCCGGCCAGCAGCCUGCACACCCAGGAAGCAGGGCGGUCCCUCAUCAAGAAGGAAGAAGGAGGAGUUGCGGAUGAUAUUGCCAUUUCUAAUCUGCUUUGGCGGGUCACAGAAAGUCGAGAGAGCCAGAUGACGAUUGAGGAAAGGAAGCAGCUCAUCACUGUGAGAGAGGAGGCCUGGAAGACAAGAGGCAGAGGAGCGGCCAAUGACUCCACCCAGUUCACUGUGGCUGGCAGGAUGCUGAAGAAAGGUUUGGCGUCACCCACUGCCAUAACCCCAGUAGCCUCACCCAUUUGCAGUAAAACAAGAGGCACCACACCCGUUUCCAAACCCCUGGAAGAUAUCGAAGCCAGACCAGAUAUGCAGUUGGAAUCGGACCUGAAGUUGGACAGGCUGGAAACCUUUCUGAGAAGGCUGAAUAACCAAGUUACCUACCAGAAGCCAGAAGGCUUUGCUCUCAGAAUCUUUAAAUCCUAAUUCUGAUUGCUUUUCUUCCUCAGCUAAACUGUUUUCUUUCCAUUAUGGCUUUACUAAGUCAUACUGUAAUCAUUAUCUUUGUUGUUAUCUUCAAAAAAUGAAGUUUUGGUCAAGACUGAUUAGACUAUCAACCCCUGAUUCACUUGAUAAUGUACUAAAUUGGGGGCCCCAAUAACACAUUUGCUCUUGAAUCUAAACUCUUGGGAUGCCAUCCAAUUGGAAUUGUGAACUGAGUGAUUUUGCUUAUAACUCUGAAAGCAGAUUAUUAUAUGUCGGCCAAAUCAACAUGAUCUUGGGCCUGGUGAACUUUAAAUUGUAUGUUAUCAGUUUCCAAUAAGGUAAAAGCUGACGUUAUUUCUUAUAAUCACAAAUGAUUUCUAAAAGAAAAUUAUGGCAAAUGAAUAUUGAAAUAAAUAUUUCAAUAUAAAAGUCAACAAAAUACACAAAAUAAAAGCAAUAUGCAGAAAUUGCCUUUUAUCUCUUGAUUAAAAUGUCCAAUCCAGGAAACUUACCAAAUACUAGGCACUGGGAGCCCCUCCUAUUGACAGUGACCACUAAAAGGUUGAAAAUAAUAAAACCACCACUGAACAGAAAUAUGAAAGUAUAAUAUAAUCACUAAACUAGCUAAGCAAGGAAUGCCAAUCAGCAAAGCAUUUAUUACAAAUGUGGAACAGUGAUGUAGCCAUGGGUUAGCAAGCAAUGGCCAUUGCCAAAUCCAGCUGCCCACCUGCUUUUGUUUUUUGUUGUUGUUUGUUUUGUUUGUUUUUUAGAGACAGUGUCUUGCUCUGCCACCCAUGCUAGAGUUCAGUGGUCCAUCAUAGCUCACUGCAGCCUUGAACUCCUGGGCUCAAGCAAUCCUCCCACCUCAGCCUCCUGAGUAGCUCCAACUAUGGGUGUUCACCACCAAGCCUGGCUAAUUUUUUUACUUUUUCUGUUUUUGUAGAGAUGGGGUCCCACUAUGUUGCUCAGGCUGGUCUUGAAUUCCUGGGCUCAAGCAAUUCCCCUACCUUGCUCUCCUGAAGUGCUGACACUAUAAGCCUGAGCCACCAUGCCCAAACCUGUUUUUGUAAAUAAAGUUUUAUUGAGACACAUUCAUGCCAAUGUGAGCUUUUGCAUUAUAACAGCAGAACUGAGUAGUUGCAACACAGGCCCCUUGUCGGCCCUCCCCAUGCAAAGCCUAAAAUGUUUACUGGCUGGCCCUUUUCAGAAGAAGUUUGCUGACCCUUGAUGUAGAAUGAGGCCGAGGCUGGUUCAUCCACCCUCAGCAGAAGCCAGUGCAGGUUCAGAAGCGUUCAGUGGGCUGGUGUAUGCAGUAAGGUCAGCCUCCCUCUCUCCCACCAUGUUACUGCAGAAGAUUUGUUCAGGUGGGAAGUCCUUACGUCAGAGAUAGGUCAGAGAUUAAGUAAGGGCCUGGGAAGCAACCACAGGACCCUGUAUAUCACAAUCAUGUUUCCUCCACUCCAGGAACUUAGGAGGAAAUAGAAUCUUCAAACUAUUGUGAGGCAUAAUUGGAGUCCUUGUUUUUAUAAAACUCUUACGUCAUUUGCUUGUUUGUUGAUAGUAAGCGGGAUGCAAGAAACGGUGCUCACUGUCACUGGCAAAUCUGUGGAGGAGGUGAUGAAGGCGGAUAAUGAUGAAACCUUUGCCAGAUCUUACCACAGCGUGGAUUAUAAUACGCCCACAAGUCCUGUGGAGCUGGACAGGGACUUCGAUGUCAUUUUCAAUCCUUAUGCAUCCAAGUGAGUUAUUUGGGUCUGCAUCUUUCCUCCACUGAGAAGGGCUUCCUUCGCCUACACACAGCAUAUCCACCAGGCUCUUUCCCCAUGUGACCUCCUUCUCCUUCUAACUCCAUCACAGGGGCGUUAGUAUUCUAGAGCCAGGGCACACUGUUGCAGGAGCCAGGGGCACAAAGCCUCCCAGCAGAUAAAACAUGCAGACGGCAGACCAGAUGUGCAGGCAGGCAGACCCGUGCGCCACAGGUGCUUGUCCUGUGCCAUAAAGAAAGUGUCAAUGGAUUUUUCACAUAACUUGAAUACUGUUUUGCAGUUUUUAGGUUUACAUCACUUAGCAGAGUUCAACGCCUGUCUUUCAUUUGACUUAUUUAAUUCUUACUCAUAACUUUGCAAAAUAUUUAGAUGAGAUGGGCUCAAAUUAGUACAGCUCACUAAAAAAUCAGUGAGGCAUGUUACUUAGCUUCCAAUCAUUUACAAAAUCAAUAGAUCUGCGGGUUUUCUCAGUGAUGACUAAGGGUGUCUCUUCCCACGGGAUCAUGACUAAACCAACUAGGAAAAGUGAUUAUGGUAUUAGGAGUCCGUCAAUUUCAAGUGCCGGAAAAACGUCCCAAUUCAAACCGACUUCAGUCAAAAAGAAAAAUGAGAGGGGUUUACUGGCUCACUGGCUGAACAGUGCGGAGGGGUUUACCAGCUCAUUCGCUGAAAAGCGCGGCGGGG
rnacentral:lncRNA from 10 species